rnacentral:rRNA from 1 species
UGGGGAAUAUUGCACAAUGGAGGGAACUCUGAUGCAGCGACGCCGCGUGAACGAAGAAGGCUUUCGAGUCGUAAAGUCCUUUUAUAUGGGAAGAUAAUGACGGUACCAUAAGAAAAAGCCCCGGCUAACUACGUGCCAGCAGCCGCGGUAAUACGUAGGGGGCUAGCGUUGUCCGGAAUCACUGGGCGUAAAGGGUUCGCAGGCGGAAAUGCAAGUCAGGUGUAAAAGGCAGUAGCUUAACUACUGUAAGCAUUUGAAACUGCAUAUCUUGAGAAGAGUAGAGGUAAGUGGAAUUUUGAGUGUAGCGGUGAAAUGCGUAGAUAUUAAAAAGGAUACCGGUGGCGAAGGCGACUUACUGGGCUCAUUCUGACGCUGAGGAACGAAAGCGUGGGUAGCAAACAGG